rnacentral:rRNA from 1 species
AGUGAACGCUGGCGGUAGGCCUAACACAUGCAAGUCGAACGGCAGCACAGUAAGAGCUUGCUCUUACGGGUGGCGAGUGGCGGACGGGUGAGGAAUACAUCGGAAUCUACUUUUUCGUGGGGGAUAACGUAGGGAAACUUACGCUGAUACCGCAUACGACCUACGGGUGAAAGCAGGGGAUCUUCGGACCUUGCGCGAUUGAAUGAGCCGAUGUCGGAUUAGCUAGUUGGCGGGGUAAAGGCCCACCAAGGCGACGAUCCGUAGCUGGUCUGAGAGGAUGAUCAGCCACACUGGAACUGAGACACGGUCCAGACUCCUACGGGAGGCAGCAGUGGGGAAUAUUGGACAAUGGGCGCAAGCCUGAUCCAGCCAUACCGCGUGGGUGAAGAAGGCCUUCGGGUUGUAAAGCCCUUUUGUUGGGAAAGAAAAGCAGCAGGUUAAUACCUCGCUGUUCUGACGGUACCCAAAGAAUAAGCACCGGCUAACUUCGUG